rnacentral:rRNA from 1 species
GACGAACGCUGGCGGCGUGCUUAACACAUGCAAGUCGAACGAAGUGGCGUACGGGUUAGUAACGCGUAAUCAACCUGCCCUUCAGUGGGGUACAACAGUUGGAACCGACUGCUAAUACCGCAUACUGAAGUAGGGGAUUGCGUCUGAUUCGCUAGUUGGGGGGGUAACGGCCCACCAAGGCGAUGAUCAGUAGCCGGUCUGAGAGGAUGAACGGCCACAUUGGGACUGAGACACGGCCCCGACCCCUACCGGAGGCAGCAGGUGGGAAACUUCCGAAAUGGACGAAAGGCUGACGGAGCAACGCCGCGGGGGUGAUGACGGCCUUCGGGUUGUAAAGCUCUGUUAAUCGGGACGCGGUACCGGAAGAGAAAGCAACGGCUAACUACGUGCCAGCAGCCGCGGUAAUUC